AUGCUAAUGGAGAAUGACUUUGCGAAUCUGAGCGGAAUCAUGAUAAUUGCACAGAGGCGAUUACGGUUGUCUCCGGAUUUGAAGGGGAGGCGGUCAGAUCGUGGAAGUUUCGACGAUGGAUCUCUGGAAACAUUGUUGUUCUGUGCAAAACAGAGAGCUUUCGUCGACGUUUACACCGACUGA